CAGUAGCGUAUAUUAAAGUUGUUGCAGUUAAAAGCUCGUAGUUGGAUUUCUGGUACAACGCGCCUGGCCCGCUUACGUGAGUGCCGGUGCGCGUUUGCCAUCCUUCUAGAAAACGUCUCUACUCGGGCAACUGAGCCGGAUUCGCGAUCUAGAUCUUUACUUGAAAAAUUAGAGUGUUUAAAGCAGGCUAUUGCCUUGAAUACAUUAGCAUGGAAUAAUAAGAUAGGACCUCGGUUCUAUUUUGUUGGUUUCUAGAGCUGAGGUAAUGAUUAAUAGGGAUAGUUGGGGGCAUUCGUAUUUAACUGUCAGAGGUGAAAUUCUUGGAUUUGUUAAAGACGAACUACUGCGAAAGCAUUUGCCAAGGAUGUUUUCAUUGAUCAAGAACGAAAGUUAGGGGAUCGAAGACGAUUAGAUACC
rnacentral:rRNA from 1 species